UCUAAGUUCGACUUCUUGGGCGGCCCGUCUGGGGAAUGAGGUGGAUAGAGUCACACAAUUCUUCCAAUUUUACCAAGAUACUAUCCACAUUCAACCAAGUAAGAAUUUCUUCCUAAAACUAGGCCCUUUGAGAUGAAGAAAAUGGCCUGACAUCCAAGAGCUGUAGAUAACAAGUUAGCAAGAAAGGAAAGAUACUGAAGAGAGCCUGCCGUAUCUCAAACUAUCACAGUUUGAUCACAGUUAAAGGGUCAACUGAAAUAAAAAUAGGACUGGUGAUGAAUAAUCAGCUCCCAUCUUACCAUGCUGCUAUUCAGAAGACAGAAAUAACUCCGAUAGACCCAUUGAUGAAGAAGAAGAAGAACAAAAACAAACUUCUCUUUCAGCACUUCUCCCCAGUUUUCAAGUUUUUCUAACAUGGUUGAGUAUGAAGGUAAAAUAACUAGCUAAUCUCUGGAGGUCUUACACAUGCUUACACACAUUUUUUUGUUAGUGGCUGCAGCUGUUUUCUCACUGUAUAUAAUAUCCUCUUUAGUACAU